AGCAUAUCAAUAAGCGGAGGAAAAGAAACCAAUAGGGAUUGCCCUAGUAACGGCGAGUGAAGCGGCAACAGCUCAAAUUUGAAAUCUGGCUCUUUUAGGGUCCGAGUUGUAAUUUGCAGAGGGCGCUUUGGCAUUGGCAGCGGUCCAAGUUCUUUGGAACAGGACGUCACAGAGGGUGAGAAUCCCGUACGCGGUCGCUAUCCUUUGCCGUGUAAAGCCCCUUCGACGAGUCGAGUUGUUUGGGAAUGCAGCUCUAAAUGGGAGGUAAAUUUCUUCUAAAGCUAAAUACUGGCCAGAGACCGAUAGCGCACAAGUAGAGUGAUCGAAAGAUGAAAAGCACUUUGGAAAGAGAGUCAAAUAGCACGUGAAAUUGUUGAAAGGGAAGCGCUUGCAGCCAGACUUGCCUGUAGUUGCUUAUCCGGACUUUUGUCCGGUGCACUCUUCUGCGGGCAGGCCAGCAUCAGUUUGGGCAGUUGGAUAAAGGUCUCUGUCAUGUACCUCUCUUCGGGGAGGCCUUAUAGGGGAGACGACAUGCAACUAGCCUGGACUGAGGUCCGCGCAUCUGCUAGGAUGCUGGCGUAAUGGCUGUAAGCGGCCCGUC
rnacentral:rRNA from 1 species